AAUGAACGUUGGCGGCGUGGAUUAGGCAUGCAAGUCGAGCGAGAACCGUAGCAAUACGGGGACAGCGGCGAAAGGGAGAGGAACACGUGGAUACCUACCCUCGGGCUCAGGAUAGCUGUGGGAAACUACAGGUAAUACUGAAUAACAUCUCCGGAUCAAAGGUGUGAUUCCACCUGAGGAGGGGUCCGCGUCCUAUUAGCUUGUUGGCGAGGUAACGGCUCACCAAGGCGAAGAUGGGUAUGGGGUGUGAGAGCAUGCCCCCACUCACUGGGACUGAGACACUGCCCAGACACCUACGGGUGGCUGCAGUCGAGAAUCUUCGGCAAUGGGGGAAACCCUGACCGAGCGACGCCGCGUGCGAGAUGAAGGCCUUCGGGUUGUAAAUCGCUGUCAGAGGGGAGGAAAUGUCGGGGGGUUCUCCCUCCGAUUUGACCUAUCCUCAGAGGAAGGACGGGCUAAGUUCGUGCCAGCAGCCGCGGUAAGACGAACCGUCCAAACGUUAUUCGGAAUCACUGGGCUUAAAGGGUGCGUAGGCGGUCCGGGAAGUUGGGUGUGAAAGCCCUCGGCUCAACCGAGGAAUUGCGUCCAAAACUGCCGGACUUGAGGGAGACAGAGGUGAGCGGAACUUAGGGUGGAGCGGUGAAAUGCGUUGAUAUCCUAAGGAACACCAGUAGCGAAAGCGGCUCACUGGGUCUCUUCUGACGCUGAGUGCACGAAAGCUAGGGGAGCGAAGAGGAUUAGAUACCCUCGUAGUCCUAGCCGUAAACAAUGAGCACUUGUUUGGAGGGUCCUCCAUAGCCUUCCAGACGUAGCGAAAGUGUUAAGUGCUCCGCCUGGGGAGUAUGGUCGCAAGGCUG
rnacentral:rRNA from 1 species